UUCGUUCUCCUUUCUCUUCUCUCUCUUUGCUUCAUUCUUUCCUGCUAUUGAAUUGCAGCAACCACCGCAACGACCCCCGCUUCCCACCAGCGACCAACCGCACCACCACCGACUGCCCAGUACCGGCCCCUGUUGCCGCGUCGCGUCGCCCAGUAGCUGCAGCCUCCCUCCUUUCUCUGUCACGCACGAAAUUGCAGCUCCCUCUCUUCUUGCUUCUUGCGUGCACAACCACCACCACCCACAAGCGUCGCCAACCUCCGCGACCACCUGCACCGCCGUCACGCAGCCCGCCGUCAGCCAGCUCCCCUCCUAUCUCCUUUGGCGGAGAAUUCUUUGUAGGCGACUUUUGAAUUCGUUAAAGUGGCCUAUCAAUUUGUUUACACAAGUCUCUAAGGAUCAAUAAGCAUUGUCCAUCUGCAGGUUCGAAGAUGUUGCAUCAUUGGGAUCGGGAAUAGAGAGCUUGUAUUUAGUUUUGAUUUGCUAAGUUGACUUGGGUUUGUUAAUUAGGACUUUAAACUUGUCGUACUAUUUAUAUUUCCUUAUUUUUGUUGGAUGAUUUUUGGGACUAAACCUGUAAUCGAUUAUUUAUAAACCUACAGUUAGUUUUAUGUUUUCCGCUGCAAAAUUCUGAAUAAGCCGUUACGUUUUCACACGGGCGAUAAUGCCUUGAUAAUUC